GACAGAGGUGCCAAGCGUUAGGCGGAAUCACUGGGCUUAAAGCGUGUGUAGGCGGGUCGUUAAGUACCUUGUGAAAUCCCACGGCUCAACCGUGGAACUGCUCGGUAUACUGGCGAUCUUGGGCCACUUAGGGGCUAGCGGAACAAACGGUGGAGCGGUGAAAUGCGUAGAUAUCGAGAGGAACACCUGCGGCGAAGGCGGGUUGCUGGGCUGAUACUGACGCUGAGGCGCGAAAGCCAGGGGAGCGAACGGG
rnacentral:rRNA from 1 species